rnacentral:misc_RNA from 1 species
UUUCCGUAGGUGAACCUGCGGAAGGAUCAUUAUCGAAUAAACGAGGUGGGAGCGCUCUCCCUGGCCUUACACCCGGUGCAUAGCCGAAACACCCCACAGACCCCCAUCUCAGACUCAUGUGUACACCAGCGCCGUUCCCUCUUCGUCGUUUGGGCAGGCGGCCGUACGAAUUCACAAAAACUUUUUUUGCAGUGUACAUUGCCUUUUCUGUUUUUGACAACACGUAAACAUUACAACAUUGAACAACGGAGCUCUUGCAUCGCGCAUCGACGAAGAACA